AGGGAAUUGAUAUGUUUUCUUGUUAUUGUCAAACCUGUAACAGUGCAUCUAAGAACAUGAAUUUCCAAACAACAUGCAGUCUUAGUGACAUUAGCUCAUUAGUCUCUAAAAACCAAUGGUGAUGAGCCUCCAUCCCCUGAAACAGAUAUAACUUAGUAAUUAGAUUGUCAAGUUGCAGAAUAAAGACAAAAAGUGGAAGAGGGUUUAUUAAAUGUAUAGUAGGACUGCAACCACUAUAACUGUAAAAUAUUUCAAUCUAACUCGCUAUCUAAAAUCUGUCUUUGAACAGUAGUCAAAUACACAUCAUGUAGUAUCUAAUUAAAAGCAAAAAGAAGAUCAUUUUCAGUUUUCCUUUGUCCUUGACUUUUGCCUACCGCAAAAACAAAAUCCUGCUUUACGCCAAUAGAUAUAUACUAUUUACUAAAUUUAUUAAAUGUAUUAAAUAACAUUAAAAAAUACAACACUGCAUUAUUCUUCAGUGAUCUAUACCAAAAUGUUUAUUAUUAUUUGCAGGAAACUAACAAUGAUAGAGGACUGUACUUGAGUCAGGGUUAAGUUGUUCUCCUUAAGCGAUGACAGUUGGGUGCACAAGUACUCUAUAUACACUACAUAUGUGUUGUGAUUUAAAUUUGAAACAUAUAAUGUCAUAUGAUGAAUAAUAAUACUAAAUAUUGAAAGUCAUUUUUCAUUAUGAAAAACAAAAUAUCAUAACGCUUAACAUACCAUAAGGCUUAACUAUCCAAAUGAAAUACCAUAAGGCUUAACUGUCCUAGGUAUGAGAGUAUCUUCUAGUUACCCACACAAUUUCUGUAAAAUACAUAAGUGAACAAGGUAGAAUAAUAAUAAAAAAGUGCUACUGCCCCAAGGAGUGUCUUGAGACAUGUUAAUACCAAUUCAGGAAAAUGUGCUAUUUGAAAUCAGGUUAGACGAGCUGCUGCUUCACUUAAUUUGCCCCACAUACAUUUCACCUAUCAGGAAGUCCUUAUUAGCAUAUACAGCAGAUGGAGAUUUUCACUGGGACUCAGUGAGGGCAAGAGUUUACUGUGCAGCUGGGACAAUCAGUGCCUCAAGUGAUCCCUGCUUUCAAAGGCUUAUAAUGUCACAGUUCUUCAUUCUCUAGAGUUUGAUGAAUGAGGUAACAAAUGUGGUGCUUGUUCACAGCUCCUAAAGAUAACUGGCUGGUGUUAAAAUACGCAUAAGUGGCUAGACUUGGUGAAAUAAUCAUUAAAUCGCCACACUAAAAAAGAAGGAAGGUAAAAGUUAUUGUAACGUGUGGUAGGAUGAAGAGGCAGCAUGCAACUGCAUAAGAUCACAUGGUAUUUAUUAAUGGCAGUCUGGUAAUUGUAGUCAGCAGUACAGGUUGGAGUCAAAAUAUAGGCAGAAAGCCUCAGUACAGGGCAAUCCAUGAACAAAACUAAAACAUGGGCAAGAGUUAAAACUGCGUCAAAUGAACACAGGAAGUCAAGGUCCAGACUUAAAAGACAUGGCAGCAUGAUAAGAUUUUGCCCUGAAACGAUGAAACAUCAGGGAUUGAAUAGGAAAACCAAUCAAGGAAGGAACUGAAAAUAAGUGAGAACAAUCAUGACUCAAGAUAGGAAGAUAAACCAAUGACAAGACAGGGGUGGAAACAAGACAUGAAACCAAACAGCAUGCACAUGGCUUUAUAAGCAAAACAUACAACAUGGAAGCUCUACAUCUUGAAUCCUUCUCCAUUCAUGGGGUCUACAAGCCUAAGCUUCGAUCCAGAUCCUACUCCUGCCAUCCUGAAGCUAAGAAGCUCCUACAUACAACUGACAUUCACAGCCAGAAAGAAACCAGAUACAACAACAGGGAAAGCCAAUCUCUGUAGCUGUUACUUGAGUAACUGCCUUCUGUGGCAGGAGGUCAGUGAAGAGCGUCACACCUGGAUAAUUUCAUUAUGGAUACAGACGGCACUGAGGAGACAGCAUACAUGACAGCCAGCAUGAUGGAGGAGAUCCAGGCAACUUGGCUAUAUGAUGCAUCAAAAAUUUUCUGAAUGUCCUUGAAGAAAACAGUAGUGGCUUUGGGGAAAGCAUAGGAGA